GUGAUUUUAGUUUAGGUAAGAAUGACGGUUUGUCUCAUCGUAGGCGGCUUAUGCCAAGUCACU
rnacentral:tRNA from 1 species